UCGAACGAGAAAGCCCUUCGGGGUGAGUAGAGUGGCGAACGGGUGAGUAACACGUGGGCAACCUGCCCCUCGCAGGGGGAUAACCGGAGGAAACUCCGGCUAAUACCCCGUAAGCUUCGGUGGUCGCAUGGCCUCCGGAGGAAAGGUAGCUUCGGCCAUCCGGCGAGGGAUGGGCCCGCGGUGCAUUAGCUAGUUGGUGGGGUAACGGCCUACCAAGGCGACGAUGCGUAGCUGGUCUGAGAGGAUGAUCAGCCACACUGGGACUGAGACACGGCCCAGACUCCUACGGGAGGCAGCAGCCAGGAAUCUUGGGCAAUGGGCGCAAGCCUGACCCAGCAACACCGUGUGGGCGAUGAAGGCCUUCGGGUCGUAAAGCCCUGUUGAUAGGGACGAAGGGCGAAGGGUUAAUAGCCCCUAGCCUGACGGUACCUUUCGAGGAAGCCCCGGCUAACUACGUGCCAGCAGCCGCGGUAAUACGUAGGGGGCGAGCGUUG
rnacentral:rRNA from 1 species